rnacentral:lncRNA from 1 species
CGGCUGGGAGUGCAUGCACACACAUGCCCCCUUUUUCUUGCCUACUAACAGGAUCUAUAGAAGGAGUACAUAAUGACAGGAGGAGGCUUGCUCACAGGGUGGUUACAGGCAUCCAAGAGAGUCAACAUAAAUGUGAAAAGUUUCCAAAAUAUCAGAUUCAGUCCUAUGUAAUCUGGUUUCCAUUGCAUUCUCUUGGCCAAAGCAAGUUGCAAGACAAGUCCAAAUUCAAGAAGGUCAAGAAAUACACUCCAUCUCCAGAGAUAUCUAUGACUUUC